rnacentral:misc_RNA from 1 species
GAUGAAGAACGCAGCGAAAUGCGAUACUUGGUGUGAAUUGCAGAAUCCCGUGAACCAUCGAGUCUUUGAACGCAAGUUGCGCCCGAAGCCAUUAGGCCGAGGGCACGCCUGCCUGGGCGUCACACGUCGUUGCCCCCCCAUCUACUCCUUCGGGAUUGCGGGGGGCGGAUGAUGGCCUCCCGUGCGCCUCGUCGCGCGGUUGGCAUAAAUGCCAAGUCCUCGGCGACACACGCCACGACAAUCGGUGGUUGCGAAACCUCGGUUGCCCGUCGUGUGCGGUCGUCGCGCAUCGAGGGCUCGAAAAAAUUGCCGGGCUCCGGCUCGGCUUUCAACGCGACCCCAGGUCAAGCGGGGUUACCCGCUGAAUUUAAGCAUAUCAAUAAGCGGAGGA